GAUAAAGAGAGGAAUUAAACCCCUUUAAAUAGGACUACAGCCCACCGCCUACCAUUCGGCCACUUUACC
rnacentral:tRNA from 1 species